rfam:Schistosoma margrebowiei strain Zambia genome assembly, scaffold: SMRZ_contig0002267
AUCCAGCUAACGAGUCCCAAAUAGAACGAAACGCGCAUCCUGGAU